GGAAGGGAUUCUGGGAGGUUGUAGCAGUGGAAAAAUUCCUUUUUUCCUCUGAUCGCCCUUUCAGCUCUUUCCUUCU
ensembl:miRNA